rnacentral:rRNA from 1 species
GAUGAACGCUAGCUACAGGCUUAACACAUGCAAGUCGAGGGACCGGCGCACGGGUGAGUAACACGUAUCCAACCUGCCCUUUACUCGGGGAUAGCCUUUCGAAAGAAAGAUUAAUACCCGAUAUAAAGGAUGGGGAUGCGUUCUAUUAGGUGUUUGGUUAGGUAACGUCUCACCAAGCCUUCGAUGGAUAGGGGUUCUGUGAGGCAGGUCCCCCACAUUGUAACUGAGACACGGUUCAAACUCCUACGGUAGGCAGCAGUGAGUAAUAUUGGUCCAUUGGCUCUAGCCUGAACCAGCCAAGUAGCGUGAAGGAUGAAGGCUUAUGGGUCGUAAACUUCUUUUAUAUAAGAAUAUGUAUUAUAUGAAUAAGGAUCGGCUAACUCCGUGCCAGCCGCCGCGGUAAUAC